rnacentral:lncRNA from 1 species
CUUUUUUGACCAACAGAUAGGUGAGGAGGAGAAAGGAGCUUAUCCUCCCAGCCCCUGCUUCAUACCAUUCACAUCCCAGAGCCAUGCCCAGACCAGGCCUGCUGGGCAGCACAAAGGAGCAAGGAGAGCCCGGCAUCACUUACGGAAUCUUUCCAAGCUCCCUGACCUUUGGAGAUUUUCAUCCACCCAUUCCAACUCUCUUGAUCCCUUCUCAUACUUGCUUGGCUUAUCUGCAUGUGGUCACCUGCUGUGGCCUGGUGUGUAAUGGGUUAAAAGCCACUGCCUGACAUCCCAACACUUGACACCCCAGCAAUGUGUGACUCCCCCAACAUUCCAUUCUGCCAUCCUGCAGCUGAAAUGGGGACGCUGGCUGCCUUUCCAGCUCCACACCCUGGGACAGAGGAUCUGGGAGGCGAGGCCAUGCCAGAGGACUUGGGGAUAAGGUGAGGGAGGAAGGCAAGAGGGAGAGGAAGCUGAGCUAAGGCUGAACUCUGACUGAGGGAGAUGAAAACAGGCUGAAAAUACCACCCCGGGAGAGGACCUCACCCCAAGCAAGCCAAUAAGAGC